UCGUACUUUAACUAAUAACUAGGAGAAGCAAACUACUAACUACCUAGAAUACUUACUUCACAACCUGUUAACUCUUGCUUGUUAGCUUGAUUUAUCCUUCUAAUUGCCUCUGUCACUCUUCACUCUAGGUACACCACUCCUUGCGCUAAGUCCGAUUUCCAUUUCUUUGAUUCUUGGAUUGACUUCUCAUACUUACUUGCUUUCAAACCGAAACCACUUAUUCCUAUGAUAAUACCCCGCCCCGGUUGGUCUUAUGCUACUGUCUUUGAGCCUUAGCUGCAAACUGUAACUACUGUUUUAUAGGCAUCAACUGAAUUCUAAGCUCUUUAAAGGUAAGUGAUUCUAUUCUAAUCAUAAUAGUUUCAGCGGAGGAGAAUAGCAGUCUCAUCUGUAGUAUUGAAAGCCUUAGCCUUUGCCUUGUUAGUAACUGUUGCAUUCCUGUGGGUGUAUUGGUUUUUUCGAGUUAGUCAGCAACUCCGUCUUUUGGUAACAUAACUCAUUCUACGUUAACCUUCCAUAUAGUAGAGUAGGGGUGAUAUGAGACGCCUAUUACCAAUACAAAUAUACCAUAUAACGUAUUUCAAUAACAUAUUUCUGAAUUCAAAACAUAAGUCAUAAUCUCAAAGACAGGAGAAGAAGCCUAACAGCCGGGCAUAAAAGAAUGGAAGGCAGGGUUGGAGGUUUGAAGCUCACCUCUAGGAGCGGACUGGGCAGUUUAGAGUUCACUCGCAUUAGCCGAUGAAGACAGAGGGUGAAUCAUGAAAUGGAAUAAUCUAUCGAGCACCAGUAGAAGUCAUAUUCCCUUCCUCUAUACAAUACCACAGCUUGUUCUUUUGUCGAACUCCACUUUGAUUCCCGCUUCAUAUCUUGCUUACGGAGCUGCUUCCUCACCAGCAAAGACAUCUUCUUUACUGCUAGAUCAGAUCAGCUCUAUCUCUAUCAGCUCAAUGUAAUCGACCCUUACUUUGAAUCUACUACAGGAUAUGCUAAUACUGCGGAAUUGAUUCUUUCCGUAUCGAGCACUCUUCCAUUAGCUAAAAAGGUUUGGCCCCGGCUUAUCAAAAGGAAUUAUGACUUGAGAGUGAAAUUCUGAUUGACAGCUGAUUGACAGGACAGUGCUUUUGUCGGUGAAGAAAGCCCCCGGUGCUAUAGUUCGGUAAGGUAGUAGAGGCUUUCAGGUGAAUAAGAAUCAGAGUUUGGUGCUAUAGUUCGGUAAGGUAGUAGAGGCUUUCAAUGGAAAUCAUAAUUCUAGUUAAGGUUCCCCCGGAGAUUCAGUUUGAAGCUAACGAGUCGCAGUUCGAAGCUACAGCUACGGCUGAGUAAGACAGGAUUGGCAGACUUGGAGACAGGGAAUUCCCGCUUAGAUAAAGGAAUAGCGCAGGAGGAUCAUCAGACUUAUAGCCAGGAGCGGUGGGCUAACUUCUGUGUUUUUGAUGAAAAAGCUCAGUAAUAGUAAUCGAAUAAUUGUCAUUAAUAGAAUAGUUGUCAUUGGUUCUCAAGCCAGAGUUUGUAUUACCUCCCGUCAGAAUCAAACGUAACCUGCUGCGAUUUAGUUGCGCCCGUACCAAAACGAGAACAGUUGAACGUAACUCAAUGAAUGAGCGAUGUAGACCGAAGACUUAGUUCAUGGUAGCCCAUAGAUUGAUAGAUGCUGCGACAAGGCUAAGGCCCGCCCGUCACGAGAAUGAUUGGUUAUACCCAAAGAAUGAGUUCUCUUUUAUAUUGAUGAUAUUUUCACCCUUACCGCGGAGGUAUAGACCUUCCUUCUAUGCAUGGGGACCCUCCUUCUAUGCAUUAGGGAUGUCGACCGAAGCGAAGACGGAGUGAAUUAAUGGGCAACGUGCUUGCGCUCGCUUAGACUAAACCCCGUAUCGGGGGGAUCGACUUUGAUUCAACAACCGUAAGAAGGAAGUACCAGGCGCCUACACACUCCUAACUGACCUCCCUAAACCCUAACCAAUAGCAAUAAGUACGAGUAUCCACGAUGAUGAUUCUAUUUAUCUCUAUUCUCUUUCCCUUCCCCGACCGAACCGAACUCAACUCGAGCAGUGGAAUCAAACUAAGAAGUCAGAAUGACAGCGCCAAUCCGAAGAGCCCGCGCAUGCUACACUGGCACCGAACCUUGCCUUGCUCGCGAUCAUCUCUCGUAGUCCUUCCGGCUCUAAUCUUUUCUUCUUCUGUUCUCAAGUAAUCUGUGUUUGUUGGUGCUAAGGUAAGGUAGCAAGCUUAAGGCUAAGGCUCUGCGCCCGAGAGUGAAAUCCCUGUUUCCAAUUCUGAGUUAUAAUAAGUUAUGUUUCUGAGACUCAAACAAGAGGCAACAAGGCUUGGGCAUCAAGUCAACAAGGGUCGAUGUCAUUUAGCUCGAACAUAAGAGUGAAACCAAGGAGUUAUCGAAUGGAAGGGGCGAGUAGAAGACUACAACCUAUAAGCAAGAAUGGAAGAGAGGCAAGUCAAAGCCUAAAACAAUAGGGCAAUAGGGAUUCCGGAGUGGCAGUUUGAAGCUACAAAAGCGGAAUUCCAGGCAUAUAGGUGAGUUUGUAAAUGACAAAUGGAGAACUAGGUUUGGCCAAGAGAAGAUAUAGUGAGUUUUGAAGCAAGGUGCUGAGAGCCUAAGAGACAGUAGAGCAAGGUUCCAAUCGAGGAAGGCUACAGCCAGUGAGUUAACUUAAUGUAUUUUCAGUCUCCAUUAUGUGUUUUAUUUUCCUCGGUAUGGGUUCCGCUUCUUAUUGGCAUCAGUCCCAUUCUUAUUGGUAUUGAUUGAUUUCUUUACCCAAGCUGGAGACAUCAUUGGGUUAACUGUAACUAAAGCAAGGUUGGUUCCCAGCAGCUACAGAAUGACAGUACUGAAGAGCGGGCUAGCGAUCAAUCCUAGUAGUUUUCGUUAGAAAAGUCAGAGAUAUAGACUUCAAGUCAAAGUAGUAGGGCAGCUAGGCUCUUAUAGAGAGUAGUUGAAGAACGAAAGGAAAGGCAUUAGCCCAAUUCUGAUAUUGUGAAGAGAGGACGACUUACUUCUUAGCUCGUAUCUGGUGUAAGGGCCCUACUUCUUAGUUUGACUCAGCUGUUGAAAUUCCAUUAUUAGUACCGUGGGACUUAUAUGCUGCUUCAUUCUAAUCUCGUAUGGGGGUUCCCCGUUUCUAGUUGACUUCUGAGAUUCCUAGUUGUUAGUUCCAUCCUUAUCAAUCCUUAUCAAUGGUAGUGAGAUUCUUUCAAGUAGUGAGAGCAACACUGCCGACAAGGUUGCAACCCGGGCUACCAAUACUAGUUAUAAUUACUUCUAUCCAAAUCCCCAAUGCUACUCAUCCUUACACUAGGAACCAAGAAGCCGACUACUACUUCUAAUAAGAUAUUACGAGAACUCAGGCUUACCAUCUGAACUCGAAAACUCACUCCCCUCGACCUCAAACCUUGCUUGUCAGUUGCUCGGGUAUAAACUCCUUCCUGGAAUCCUUUCUUAUCGGGGGUUAUUGCGUGACUCACACACAUAUCCUAUAUUGACUAUGGAGUAGCUGUAUGCACUUAAGGGAAUGGAACUUAUCACCGGAGAGAACCAACCCCGAAAUAGAGAGUACAAACACUACUUACAGGGCUAACUAUCCAUACCUUUAUUCGCCAAGUAACGUAUAGACAAGCAACGUAUAAGCCCAGAUUCGAAUGAGAACAUAGGGCAACUACUCUAACAGUCCAUACUUUUCUUCUUUAUUUAGUGAACCCUAGGCAAUAGCACAGAAUGAGUUGUUCCACUUGAGGACCAAGAGAACCCACCUUGCACACCAUACAAGGUGUUACUAAAAGAAUGAGUUGCUGAUCGCCCAUAGAAUUCUUUAUGCUACCAAAAAGGAAUGAGUUAACCUACUCGACAAUAUAGAAAGAAUCACUUAUAUCCUCGACAAUAUAGAAAGAAUUAUUUAGAUCACUUUCAGAAUGUGCUUAACUACCUUAAGACCAAGUAAAGUUGUCCUACAAUGAUGCUUUUAUUGGUAUUGUUGUUCGUGCACCCACGAUGACUCUGACCCUAGUAGAUGGAUAAGUUAAUUAAUUCACGUAUUAGAAUAUAGUGUAUCGUCCGAGGCUAGCGCAUCUAGUAAUAGGAAAAGAGUCAACCAAUGCUUCUAAGGCAACAACAGAGGAAUAGGGCUCAGCUAACUUACUAAUACUGUUAUUUAUCCUCUACCUAUGGCUAAAAAGACUGUUAUGGCUCUGGACCACUACUAGUUGUAGCUGUAUAAGAAUUAGGAUAAGCAGGAGCGGGAUGACUCUCAUUUCCACUCAUAAACUUGCCAACGAAUUCAUUUAUUCCUUACAUCAUAUGGGUUCCGAGUCGCCAAGUCCAGUGGUUUCUUCAUGCGGUGCUUGUGUUGGCAAAGACUAAUAUGAAGUAGACCUAGCCUCAAAGCCAGUACUUUAUGAUUGAUUAGAAGCCGGGGCAGGUACCCGAACUAACUCUAUCUUGCAGACCAGACCUAUACAUUCCCUCCCGCUACUGCUUGGGCCUCUUAUUCAAGAGUGAACUUUGGUCAAGAACCUCUAUUUACCAACUCGGGAAAGCCUUUCAUUAGGCUCACAAACACAAUUCAUUAGCUGCUUUGAGUGAAGAAUCAUCAAGUAUUGUUCCAGUCCAGAAGAAGCAAGGGCUGUGUAGGUUCUUUACCUUAGUUGAAGAGCUGGACUUUAAACCAUUGCUUAUCAGGGGACUUUCAACAAAUAAGAUGCUAGGCGUCAAUGAACUAGAACAGCUUUCGGGUACCUCAAUUUAGGAUGGAUUUAUUUGAUUAGUUUACCCUGCCCUGUCUUUAACGAUUAAUCAGCCUAUUCUUCAGCCACAACACCGACCCAACUUAUUCAUAAUAAUACUUCCAACUUAUUCAUAAUAAUACUAGAAAUCUAUACUAGGUUUAGGUGCUUGCUCGAAAGAAGGAAAUGAAUGAUCAAAAAACAGAAUAGAAUGUAGGCGCAGGAUCAGAGGCGUCAGUGAGCGGACCCACUUAUCUUACUUAAUGCAAAUAACAAUACAUCAUGAUUUAGGUACCUAUUGCGGAGUCAGCAUCAGCGGGUAAGGCUUAAGAAUCAGGCGCACUAGAUCAAUCCUUUUCUGAUUGCCUACUUUCAUCAGCAGAGUCCACUGAUAGAGCAUUAGAGUCCACUGAUAGAGCAGAGCCCAUAGUUAUAGGUGGAGCAGAGCCGGUACAGGAUUAAGCCCUUU
rnacentral:lncRNA from 1 species